CUGUUUCCUGACUUUUAAAAGUCUGUAAUCCUUUUCUUCUCCUUCAAAGUGAUAAAUGUCUUUCCUUAGCUUUUUAUCCGAUUGUAUUUUGAUACGUUGGGAGUCCCAUGCUAUCACUGCAGACGAUACAAAGUACAGCAGAACUUAAUACCCUUGACGUGACUUUAGUUCCACUGUUUUAACCUCCACCAUCGUGACUGGGUCAUGGUGGUUUUAUAGCUUUAUAUGGACCUCCUCAAACCUUUGCUCUGUCUUGAUACAGUUAUGGGUGUGUUCUGGUGAAGCCCAGCCCUGACCAUCAUAAAGGUUCCAGGUGUAGUCAGCUGUCGUUCAAAGCCUCCUUCCUCAUUCCAUCUGUCCUCACUGAGGAGCCCAGCAGCUCAAUCUGUACUCAGAACCUUUAGAACCGUGUUCACGUUCUGUCUCCGUUCUGAACACUUACUUUGUGUUUUGGCGAACACCUGAAUCUCUUCCUUCAACUGAUCUUACUUUCCAUCCUUUUGUGCUUUUAUAUUUUCAUACAACACGGGACAGCACACCUUUCACCACAGAGAAGCUAAGGUCUCGAGUCUACUAUGGAUGAGGAGAGAGAGGAGGAGGGUCCUACCUCUAAGACCACUCUGUCUGGGGAACAUGGCCGCCGGAGCAAAGCUAAGAGCCCAGAGCAGCAGCAGAGAGCAGACUCCCCUGGACCCAGCUGUGUCUCCAUGAAGAGUGACAGCUCUAUGGAACAACCUCAUAACUUUAAAGAUGGAAAUCAGUCUAUUGAGAAAAGAAGAGUCCAGCAGGAGAGAGCAGACUCCCCUGGACCCAGCUGUGUCUCCAUGAAGAGUGAUAGCUCUAUGGAACAACCUGUUAACUUUAAAGAUGGAAAUCAGUCUAUUGAGAAGAGCCCAGAGCAGCAGCAGAAAGCAGACCCCCCUGGACCCAGCUGUGUCUCCAUGAAGAG